rnacentral:lncRNA from 1 species
UGCAAGCUGGAAUAGUUGACAGUGAUUCUUCUUAUCGAAGAUGAUCUGAUUUGGUAAGAGAUGUUGUGUAAUAAUAGUGGUAGAUUCUAAUUUCAAUACUGUAACCUGGAUGCGAUCCUGUUGUUUUGGGGGGGUUUAAAUGUUCUCUUUGAAAUCUUUUAUUUAAGUUAAAUGUUCUCUUGAAAUUCUCCUAUUAUGGCUUUCAAGUUUGAAAUUCAGGUUUUGAAAUCAUUCGAUU